ensembl:lncRNA
CUGCAUCAUGGAGGAGAAAGUGAUUGUUGCCGUUUGCGAUUCCCGGAACUUUUUUUUUAUAUGAUAGUAUAUCAUUUAAUAUAGUUGUAUAAUAAUAUCACGGCCAAAAGCUCUGUGCGCCCCCGGAUGGCCGUAGCGCGGGAAGCUCUUGUAGGGAUUGGGCUUCUCGGGGUUUGUUUACCGGCGUAUGAAUAGACUGCGUCAGGUUCUCCGACGUCUCUCCCUCUUCCACAAAAGCAUGACAGAAGCCUGCUGGAGAGUGCCUGGGUUUCUUCCUCCAAGAGACCAACUGCGUUGGAGAGUUCCAUGAGGGAGGAAACGGUUUUGGUCCUGGAAAGUUCCUCAAUUAGUGGGGAGGAGUACAUCCAUACUGCUUUCUCCAAACGAUUGGAGCAUCCUCGUGGAGCACAGAAAACCGCGGAGGAGACUGUCAAUAUAUAAAUAAUGAACUGCGGUAAAUAAGUGCAUAGUAGAAAGACAAGAUAUAUAUAUAUAUAUAUAGGUUGUAUAUAUAUGAAUGUGUCCUUUGAUAUAGAAUGCCCUUUUGAAUAGCACAUGUCAAAUAACAUAAAUGUAAGGAUAGCGAAAGCUGCUGGACACAAGAGCAGAACACAGAGACUGUACAGAGUUUGAGUGAUGGUGAACAAGUUUAUUUGGUGUAACCAGGAGGCAGGUAUGAGAGUUGGGCGCAUCAGGCUGGAGGGAGUGAAGCAGGCAGGCUAGAGGUGUAGAUCCAGAAACUAAAAGCAAAGAGAACAAAGGUGAGGCACGAGAUUUCAGCAGGAGAACUACUUGAAAGUGUAUAUUGAAUACUUUUUCCGGACUCAAAGUUCCAUUUAAAAGACAAUACAAAUACAUGACAAUACAAAUGCGAGGUCAACACAGAUUUAAAAUACAAACCAGCAUUGAUUCCAAUGUUUCCACAACCCAGAGGAAUACCUUCUAUUACUCUGUUUAGUGUCAGUGAGUGCAAUUAUUAGUUUGUUUUUUGUCUCUAGAAGUCGACACAUAAAUUUGUACAUAAAAUUCCUCAACACAGCAUGAAAGAUGGGGACCUUACUAGUUACAAACAAAGAGCUAGCACUUGUCCAUCUUGACCGGAU